UGCACAGAGUUGGACACGACUGAAGUGACUAAGCAACAGCAACCACAAAAACAAGCAUGGGUCCAUAGACCUGGGGCCUGCUGGCUGGCUCCAAAGCACAGGAUUAGAUGCUCAGGAUUGAGGUAUGUGGGUUUGGGGGACCCGCCCCGCAGCCCCAGGACAGGUGGAGGUCUCUGAGAAACAUUCAGCGUGGACCUGUGGUUCCUUUCUCCGCCAGCCUUGUCCCGCCACACAGCAUGCCCCUUCCCUCCUACACUUUGUAUGGAAGGUGGGCACUGAGCUGGGUGAGAGGGUCAUAGGAUGUGAGCAGGAUGGCAUGCCAGGAAAGCCCGCUUCUCGAAAUCCAGAUGUGGUGGAAGUGAGAGGACAGAGCUGGCAGGUCCGCACUGCUGAAGUGGGCCUGGGCUCUUUCCAUUUCCUCUAAUUUCUCUGGAGCCCUGGGCACAAUGAUGUCUUCCCUCCCCCUACCCAUCAAAUCCAAAGGUCAGCUCCCCUUGGAGCCUCCCCUGACUCUCCUGCCCUACUGACCUCAGACCUCGUCAACAAUACGAUCAUGGACUCCCAUGGACCCCAAAGACCACCUUGAUGGGAAAACCAAAACCAGCCCAAGAACAAGACUCCUUGUGCCCUCCGUGGCUCUGACCUUCACUCCCUGGCUCUUUCUGAGACCCCUGAGUCUUCUGCACUUUUCCAGGAACACGGCCUGGUCAUGUGAUCACCACGCCUGCCCAACCUUACCCUGGGGUCAUGCUGCCAGUGCAGGGGUCUUUCUGUGAUGUCCCCACCCAGAGAGCUGCCUUUGAGUUUGUUCCAGAACCACAGGAUCAGAGGAACUUUGAAUUCAGAGGGAUUCAGGGGUGCCUGCUCUGAAGGACAAGACCUGGGACUUGCCUCUGAUCUCAGGCGCCUCCUCUGUAGAGUGGAGGCUGAGCCUUCUUCUGGCAAGGACCAAUGGCAACUCCCAUUGUUGUUCCCAACUGUGUGCUUCACACGCAAUCUUCUGAUCUCUCCAUCCAUCUUGGUGAGUGUGUGGUUUAUGGUGGUCUCAAGACUUGAACCUAGAGCAUCUGCUCCCAAGGCUGGAACUCUUUUGCCUGGACCACACAGACUCUCACCAUAGAAGGCUCUCGAAGAAGCUGGAGGCUUCAAACACAGGGGUGGUGUCUUCUGACUCCCAGACACGCUGACCACAGGAGGUGCGCUAAUAGACCUGUUUCUCAGUCCUUGUGUGUCCUAUUCAGAUCUUCCUGACUUCUGGACAGGCUGUGUCAAGCCAGCCUGAAACCUAGCCCAGGGCACCUGUAGCUGCCGCCGUCUUGUCCCUGUGCCCGAGCCAGUUGGCAUCACGUGCUGCUGUUUCUCCUGGUUGUUUUCAUGUGGAGGAGUUACCUCCUUCCAAAUUGGGAAAGGAGGUUAGAAGAAAAUAUCUCAGCAGCUGGCCCGAGCUGUGCUCUCCCCCAUUGUUUGGCCAAUGCUGGGCUGUUUGUGUUGGGUUUCCAUAUGGCUUCGUGAUAGGCAUGGCUUUUCCGUCAGCAUCUAUAGUGCUUGCUAUUGGUGCCUUGAACCUUGUUCCUGCAGCCCCGAUCAGACCACAGCAGCAGCACUGUCCCCAGUGAAUUUGGGGUUCACUUCCCCAGAAACAGCCCUCCCUCUCUUGGGGGGAAUGGCAAUCAGUGGGACCAAGCCCCAGCCUCCCCCAACUCAGGACUGUUCCGAGGCGCACUUUACACAGGCCCUCAGAGAAUCGCUGGUGGGACGGAGCCCACGCCGAUGACUGGCUGUCACAUGCACACAUGUUGGCAUCCCUCCUGCCUUGUCUCUCUCUCUCACUCCCUCACUAUAGCCUCCCAGGCUCACUUCUCAAGUAAAUUUCCUCUUCCCAAACCUUUUUCUCAGGCUCUGCUUUAGGGAGGAGACAAACUGAGACCAAAAUAUGAGCCAGGCUGGCAGAGAGUAUGAGUAGGAGGAGGGUGAAGCCCUGGCUUAGGAGCCAGGAGACCCGAGUUCCACUCUUGUCUCUGUUUCACCAGCACUUUGCACAAUAAAAGUCAGUGGAUUGAACACAUAGAUGUAUGAAUGAGUAAAGGAAUGAUGGUAGAUAUUAUUUUGCCUAUUUUGCUGAUCUGGAAACAGUGGUUGGCAGGUUUAGGGCUCACCAACCAUUUCUGGAUGUACACUAUCAUCCUCCUGUGAUCCCAGUCUCCCCUCUUGAAUUGUGUGACCAUGUGACUUUCUUUGGCUGAUGCAAUGUGAGCAGAAGUGAUAGGUUUUACUUCUGAAUGAAAGUAGUUCAGGGCCAGUCUCCCUAUUUUCUUCCCUGCCCCCACCAAUCCUGCAGUCAAGUGUUGAGAAGGAAGCGCCCAAAGAUUAAAGCAGCUUGAUUGCUGAGUCACUUCACAGGGGAUAGUAACCCCAGAUUUGCCCAGACUGGCAGUGGAUUUCUGUGUAUUACAGAGAAAUAAACUUUUGAUGUUUUGAGCAGAGUUUGGGGGAUGCUUGUUACUGCAGCAUAACCUGGUUCAUCCUGACAGGUACACAAACCAAACCCAAAGUGAAUUGGCCUGGGAGCCUGAAACCCAGGCGUUUCUUCUCAUCCAGGUAACUCUUGUCCCUGAUAGAGGCCUCUACUCACUUCCCUAUGUUUAGAAGCAGGGCAGUGUGGCCAAAAGGGAAGCCAUUCCCAUCCUAUCCCUUGGGGCCAAUCUCAAGUGAUCUCCUUAAAGGUUCUGUCCCUAGUCCACUGUCUGGCCUCGAGUUAUCCGUUUCUCCAAAGAAGAGUUUGGAUGAGCUCAGUGGUUCAAAAACUGUACUCUAUUGAGGCCCUGGCUGCACAGAAGUAUCGUGGGUCUGGGUUGGUGGACAGUGGCCAUGUUUUGAACAAAGCAUCUCCUCUGGUGUCUGUUUUGUAUUUGGAGGCUUUCACAUUAGCGCAGAUCACUGAUAGCAGUUUGAUAAAUGCAGGCUGGAGGAUCUGUGACUUCUUCAAGAUGAGGACAUUUGACCUGAAGACACCUGAAUUCACCUAUUCCACCCAACUCGACUGUCAGCUCCAUGAGGACAGGUGGGGACCUCAUGUGUCUUGUUUGCUGUCAUGUCAAGAACAGAGGUGGUACACGCCAUCAUUUUACACAGAUCAUUUCCUGAGGCUCUGCUGUUGUACUAACACUGGAUGGAGAUCAACAGACCAUCUACCUUUGGAGCUGCUGAUAGCCGUGAGAAAGAAGUGUAAUAUGAGAGUGUGGGAAUGCACCCAGCAAGGCUCUUGGUGCAUGUACAUGCUAAGAACUUGGAGCUCUCCCUAUGAUUAAGUCACUUGCUGGAGGUCCCACACUAGUAAGUGGGGGAACUGGCUCCAGAGCUCAACCGGAGAAGAUAUUCCCGUUGUAUAAAGAUGAGCAUCCUUCCUGCGCCCCAACCACCUGCGCCUCAAGCAGGGUGAAGUCUCUCCAAGCCCAGCCCCAGCUGGUCGGUCAGCAGUACCUGAGAAGCCGGAAUCCUGCGGACAGGCUGCUCCGGGUUUACGGGAGACUCUGGAAGCUGGAGUUAAGACCCUUCCUUCCAAGCUGCCUCAAACCUCGCCUAUGGGGUGGGCUCAGACGGUCCCUGCCCCAACAGAGACUGGGGGAAGGGUUCCUCUGGAGGCGUGACAAGGGCCUCCUCAGCCCUGUUCCUCCUUCCCUAAUGAAAACAUCCGAACCCACUAGCGGCGAUCCUGCCACAGAGACCGGUUCCUCUCGCUUAAUUCAAGUCUGGGCUGGGCUCUCAGGCCUGUUUGCUGUCACGUCUGUUGCCCCAACUCGUGCCCUCCUCCCCACCCACAGGAGCCCAUGAAGACCCCGCACCCAGGUGCUCUGAGCCUGCCUGGAAACCCCCAGGGUCCUUCAGACACUGGGUUGGGGCCUCGACGGAGAAGCCCUCCCUCCGCUGCUGAAAGGGCUGGAGUGCGGGUGCGGGGGGAAGGGGGGACCCAGUGUGGCCUGUGGAGCCACGAGGAGAGCAGGCCCUGAGACACUCCUGCCUCCAGCAGAACAUCAGCGCCACCGCCCAGGGGCCCAUUAGGUCUGCGUCACCAGGGGAGGAGGAGGUCGCUUUACGGGGGA